GUGGAGUAAAGCAGUACAGGCACUAAAAAGCAAGUUUGGAGGUGUGGAGCUGAGGUUUGCUGGCUGAGUUCCUUUCUCUUGUUGAAAUAGUUCUGCAUCUUUAAUCAGACAAAAUCCCCCUUUUCACGAAUGCUCUCAGACCCCAAAUCUGUCUUCUGCUGCUAAAGCAGAGCUUUUUUGUGAUCCUGACAGACUACAAAAUGAAACAUGACCUGUUAUGAGUGACAGGGUUUCACUUACAAGUGACUGUAUUUGGGGAAAAAAAGAAAAGGAAAAAAAAAAAAAAAAGAGGGGCUUAAAAAAAAACUAAUGCAACCAAUAAUUAAUACAGGGAUUGAGCUUGCCUGAGGUUAACACGAGAGGCCCAGAGCUUAGGGGAGAUAAAAGAGGAUUAGAUGCUUCACUUGUAAGAACAGCAUCCAUCAGCUCCAGCAGAUAAGAUAAUUAGUUACAAGGGCCGUCAAGCCUUUUGCCGGCAGCAUUAGCAGCCCUGACUGGCAGCUGAGUCAGGUUGUUGCCACGCAGCCACAAGCAGAGCACAAUUAGUGAGAUGCAGGGCUGCCUUCCUUGGAACUGAGCUGGUGGCUGCGGCUGGGUGCCCGGACCUGGGAGGACUAUGGAUGCCAGAAGAGGCAGAGACUGAAAGCCACCAUCCUUUCCUCCUCUCCCCCCUUCUGAUUGCUGUGGACAUGUGUGGAGCACAGAAUCUCCCUCCUCCUCAAAUGACUACCUAAGGGUCAAAAUCUGAGCUGAAGUUUUCACCUCGCUUGAGCAGACUACCUGAAAAACAUUGCUAUCACUUCUCAAAGCUUAUUUGUGCUUCAUUUUGAAGGGGCAUCCGAACAUGUCACUGAAGUCAAAUAUCAGCAUAUUUAAAAUCACGUGAUGAAUCCUUGUCCAGAUGUUUCUUCAGAUCUUGUUGAAGGGCCAAGUGGAAGAAUGUCCUUGGAGAACAGCUUCAUACAGCACAGUCUCCUCUGCUGCUCACACGUUUUGUCUGAACAUUUAAUCUGUACUAGCACACAGGCAUUCUGGAGGUCACUUCUGGACAAGAUGCUCAGGAGGAUCUGAAGCAACAGCCAGAUGGUGUAUGAACAUGUCAGUAUUUCAAGCUGGAUGACCAUCCACUUCCUCCUGUAAGAUCCUAUGAAUAAAGGAAACAAAAACAGAGAGACUGAAGGCCAAGAAACAAGUUAUUUUAACUAUGUGUCACUGUUGACGAGAACAAGAUGAAAACACAGACACUGACAAGCAUUCUUGGAGGGGCUGUAGGGGUACAGUGUCCUGUUCUGGGCAAUCAAUUAGCACUGUCCUGGGAAAGGGUUUUUGUGUUGUUAUAGCUGUGAAGACAACUUGAACUGAUCACGACCUUCCACAGUAGCUUGUGAACUUCCACAGCCUCAAUUACUGCCAUCUAAUCUACAUAUUUGGUCAAAACCAAGAAAGACAGGGAAACCCUACAGUCAGCACAACUAAAUUAGUGAAUAAACCAAAGACUGGUGUGAAACUGUAGCUGAAAGUUCCAUAUAGACACUAUGGCUUGAUUUCCAUGUGCUUUAGGAAUUUUCUUCAGACUUCCAUUGAUAGUUGUGUUUAUUUGAACACCAGUAGCCUCGCAAUAGAGAACAGUAGCAUAAACUGGAGUAAUUCCUACUAUUUGUCCCAUUGUGGCUUUGAGGAAUGCGUAUGUGAAACAAGGAAAAAUUCUAAGAUCAGCAAAUUUCCUUAAAGGACAUAGGACUGUUCUGAUUACAGCUGAACCUCCAGAGGAGCUGUGUAAGCUGGACCUCUGAAAGAAAGCUGGCAUAGGAAAAUGAAAGGUUCCUUAGCUACGUAAAGUGGAAAAGGGAGGCACUGCACAAAUAAGGGGAGAGAGAAUCCCUCAUUAGGACAACCUGAUGUUGGUGCAUUGCCAGCGUCAGCCAAGGAUCACCUACUCACUCACAAGGAGUAGGUGGGAUACUGCUGCAAGGUUAAAAGCUGGAAGAGUGGAGAUCAAAGCUUCGGAGCUAAUCCUAAUAAGUAUGAAGAGAGACUACAUGAAUGAACCAGCAGAGGAAGCAUAAUCUCCUGGAAGUGAAUUCUAAUGAACAAUUUAGACAACAUCUGAUUUAGACAGCCAGUUCUACUAGAUUAAUUUCUCCCAGGUCAGUUCUGAUGGUAGUAAGGAGAAAUUGGGAAGUAUAUGGACACUUUGUUUUAGUGCUCAGUAGAGGGGACAAUGAAGAUCAGACUAAUGAAAGAACACAAAAGAAAUCUUACUUCAUUCCAGACCUCACUUAAGGGUUGGCAGUGGAGAUGAGGGUGUCUCACUGGAGAUCCCUGUGUACCUGAGGUCUUCUGAAGAUUCCUCUGUAAGGAGACCAUUUUCCCCUCCAGUUCAUUGGAAACAAUUGGUGAAGAAGAAUAAGAAGAAUGUGCCACCUCUGGAGCCCCUGGAGCUUUUCUAUGAAAAUAAAUAGGAGGAAUUACUUUUGGAGCAACCUGCAGAAUACGCUGAGCACUGUUAAGAGCAUGGAGCAGAAGAGAGAAAAAUCGAGGCAUUUAAAAGCUCAGAUCCAAUUCCUUCCUCUCCAUUAUUUCCUUGAAGAAACACUGUAUUUUCUACUAGUAGUUAAACUGUAAAUAGAACCCUUAGUUGGCAUCACCAGCACCUUUGCCUGUAUUUUGGGCUUUUCUUCAAUUACGCAGAUGAUGGAUCGAUGCAGAUGGGGAACUGUUGGACCUGUCUGUUCUCCACGAAAGCCAAGUUUUCUCCCAGCAUCUCUGGGAAAAUUCACUUAGGAAUCUCCCCAAGCAAGUUACCACCUCAUCCUCUGAAGCUUAAGCAGCUCCUGCAAGAAGAAGCAAAGGACCUGCCAGGGGCAGAAGUGGGCCCUGAGGAGGAAGAGCCUACAAACAUCACUCGCUGGCACCCAAAGCCAAGGAUUCAGAAGCAAUGUGGAUAACAAUUUUGGCAGCAAGAGCAAGUGAAGGUGCUCCUCCCAUUUCCCGACUGCCUCACUUCUUGGGUGGCCAUUUCCCUGGGGCAGAAAGGGAGCGUGAAGCACUGCAAGAUCAGCUGGGAGAGCAACGGUCAGGUGCAGGACAGGAGGAAAGGGCAAGAAGGGGUAGGAAAUCGCGAUCCUAUCCCCACCGCCCACUCAGCUUCAUGCCAGCUUCCUUCCCCACUCUCUCUGGCUCCCAUCACAGCCCCUCAAGGCUCAGUACCCUUCUCCAGCCCUCUGUGCAGGCUGGGGCACGGGCCCAAGUCACAGGUUCAGGCCCAUGGGGCGCCUGCACGUGCUCCUUUGUGCAGAGCAGCGGCGAGGGGAGGGGAAGGUCAGCACCAGCUUUUCCCAGGCUUUGCACUGUGCUUCUCCUCUCAGGGAGCUCUGCAGGGAGGAGGAGAGGUAGGCAGCCAGGAACGCAGACUAUGAGCACAGGGGGAGGCGGAGGAGGUGGCUGCUUGGGAUGGGGAUGCUGGCUGGUGCUGUGGGGCUUGGUGGUGAUAGAGCAGUGUGGGAUGCCGGAGCCGGAGUGCCUGUGGGGGAAGCUUGUACUGUCUGGCGCUGCUUGGAUGUUCCCUCAUCUUUGAUAGAAACAACUGAAUUUGCGAACUUGUUUCCCACAAGAAAGGCCCGUAGUGUUCACAAGGGAACAGAUUAGGGAUUGUCCUAAAUCCUCACGGUGGCCAGGGCAGUGGGGGAAAGCCAAGUACCAGAUGAUUUCCUCGGAAUGCAACAAAUCUCACAUUGCGAUAAGAGCAACAAUAGCUUUCCCUCCACCCUCCUCCCUCCGACCUCAGGCCCAGAACCUCACAGGAUAUUCUCGCUGGGCAAGCACUUUGCAGCAAGAGCAAAUCAGAAGGGAAGACUAUCGAACAACAGGGUGGAUGGGUCUGCAGGGUUGGGUUGAGGACAAGGGGCUGAGCAGGGGAGGCGAGAGAUGCUUCUGAGCUGCCAUCACUGCCUUGGCAAAUGGGUCUUCUGCAGGUAUGUCCUGACAAUCUCUAGUCAUUGGGGAAAUCUCCAAGCUAGAUACUGGGCUCUCUCUGCCACGAGUCUCCUUCUCAGUGAGAGAAAACAUCUUGAUUCCCUGCUCUGCCCCAGCCCACACAUUUAGAUGCCACAUCCUUCCCUGUCAUCUUUGGAGAUCUACUGCUCAUGGACACAAUAAAGGCUUGGUGAAUUUUAAUUUCUUCUUCCUUUCUGUGCUUCAUAAUUUUUCACCUCUAUCCUUUCUGCCCUUGAAUAUGGUCAGCAUUGUAUCUGCCAUCAGACUGACAUCCAAAGAUGAAUACAAACCAUAGCAAAGAUACCUGCACGGUGUCUGCAAACUGAUGUAAAUACCCCAACACAACGUCACACUCAGUUUUCUCUUUGGAAGUUAGGCCUUGCCUCACCAAAGCUAGAAACACAACUGUAAAUAACACAAGCUUUUUUUGGUUUGUUUUUCCCCAUGUGAUUUGCAUAUGAUUGUUGCAGAUCGUGUGUGUUUAAAACUUUUUCUCUAGGUAUGAAAGCUACACACAUCACCAGUAGGGCUCCACAAGAGAUGGUGGUACUGAUUGAGUGGAGUUCUUGUGUCCUAAUUAUUGCUCUGCAAAUGAGUCAGCAAGGCCUGAAGGGUGUACUUGUUAGAAGAACAGCCUGAACUCCUGACUGCUGAAGGAAAGACCUCCUUGGUGUUACCACAAGACAUUCUAGCAACCAUUUUCCCUGUGGUCUUUAAUCAUUCCAUCCUGGACAGUCUUAUGUUUACAUCAUCAACCAUGAGGAGGCUUAUUAAUCCUCUUCACAACAUAGAACAGGCUGGCCCCUGUAUUGAAAAACUUCACGCUAAUACACCAGAGUCCUGAAGAUCAUGGAUAGAUGCAGCAGCACAAAAUAGCUAUGGAAAAUACAAUGCAGAGAUCACCUCUUAACUCCCCACUCAUCAGGGGAGCUGGUGCACUGCACAGCCUGUGAUCCACACCAGAAGCAGCUGUGUUUCAGCUGACAGACAAAAGUUACCUAUGAAAGCAGUACACAGUCCUCAGGAGUGAAACUCCCACUGACCAUCGCACAGCUAUUACAGUCCAUGAUUCCUGAUAGCAGUGAUGGCAGGGUUUAGAUUAAUUUGCCGUCAUUUCAUCAUUUACACUAAAUGCCAUGGUUCUUUGAUAAACAUGUCAGGCCUUUUUCCAAACAAUUUUUCCAUUCGGAGCUGAUGAAAACAGGCUGUCAGCACUCCUGGUAGAAACACCCUGUUCAUGGCAACAGUCGCUGUCUGGCCCAGUGGUCUUCCUGGAGAAAGUCCAAGUGGGAAGGCAGUCCGGAGGCUCAAUUCCCAGUGCUGAUAGGGGAUGGAGGAAGGUGACCACUGUUUCAAGAUGAUGAUGUUUACUCCCUCUAAGGGAUUUACCUCUGAAAUAUGGUAUUUGAUAAGUACUGUAUUGGAGAAAUAUGAAUUUUAAAGGUGGACUAUUUGGUAGAUAAAGAAUUGGUCAUAUGGUGUAUUGAUAAUGCUAAAUCACAGCCUGAACCAGUGACUGAGCACCUGGUGGGAAGGCAGGGCCAACUCAGGGGAGCUCAGGUGCAUGCAAUGCAUUGAGUGAUUGGAAGGCGUGGAUCCUGGUUCCACCCCUUCACAGACCUCAUUCAAAGGCUGGCAGUGGAAGCGAGGUGAUAUCUGGCUGGAGAACUUUAAGUGACUGUGGUCUUCUGAAAGAGAGCUCCCUUCCAAACAAACAUGAGACCAGGAGAAGCUUCUAUACGUUACCAACAACAUAUGGAAAAGUGCAUACCUUUCUGAGCAGGCAGAUUUACAAGGGUAGUGAAAUAUGCCAAAGUACCUGAGCUGGAUCACCCUCCCUUUCCUUUCUCCGCCUUUCCAUCUCUUUCUCCAGCAGCAACACAAGAGCCCUAUGCUGUAGCCACAGACCACCUGCUGACGGGACAUCUCGGAUGCUCUCCAACAGUUUACUUUUACAGUCUGUGCAGUAAAAGCUGACAUCAGCAUUGCUUAGUAAGGUAGGAAGUCUGUUCACCCAGGCCUGCGAGACCUUCCCUCUUACCAACAGCUUCUACUCACUCUCUAAUGUUUCUAUUCAGGGUCACCUAAAAGGGGUGACCCACAGCCCUGUCCUUCACCAGAGCGCUGAGCUACGCAGCAUCCUGUGAACAUUUUCUUCCUUUCUCUUAAUUUUCUUUGAGCUGGGGAUCUGUGCAUGUUCUUUUAUCUGAAGUGAUGCUGCAGUAACUGCAAAAUGCCCAGUGGCAUUUUUGCUGUGGAUGUGCUCUGGAUCAGCUGCCUUUUGGCCUGGAAAGGGGGACAGGGGCUAUGUUUUUAUUCUUGCAGGUGGGAAAAUGCAGUAGACAGCAUAUUCUCUUCCAGGCUAGCUGUACAGUUCAUCUCCAGAUCCCAGGUUCCUCCAUUAAAACCUACCCCCUGCCCCAGGGAACAGCCUGGCAAGCUCUUCUGACCCAACAGCACUGGCAGCUGUUUGGCAGCUUCUGAAGUGGAUCCAAUCUGUUUGCAGUGAAAUGUAACUUCUCAUCUUCAACACAACUAGACUUGACGUGAGGAGCAGCAAAAAGGAGAGUUCAGCAGUGUUCGAGACCACAUUGCUUAGUGACAUCCCCAUACAAUCCAAGAGCCUGACAGAAGAAAAAUUAGGAGAGAAGAAAUUCUUAUCUUCUAUCCAGAGGUCUCCAGAGAUUUUGAUUCCCCUUGCAGUGGCCUCAGAGCAUCCACAUGACUGGACUUCAUGGAUUAUCUGGAUUAUAUUACGAUAUGGAUCUCUCCUUAGAGCACUGCUCUACCCCAAGGAACAUCCAGCUCCCAGAAAUACCUCCUGGUUCAGAAGUGCAACUCCUGUUCUCUGUUGACAGCAUUAGCAGGUUAACAUUCCAGAAACCAUGCAAAUGAUCUGAAGUGCUCAGAUGAGACCAUCCCUUACAGCAGCGAUCCUGCCAUUAGAUUGGGAUGUCUCAGACAUGAACUUCAUGAUGAAUUCAAGGCGACUGGACCAGUAAUUUAUUACAAAGCCAGGUGCUGGAGACAGCAGAGAAGAAGCAAAUAAGAAUGUAAGAAAGCAAGAUGGAGAGAUGGACAUACUUAACUACAAGAUACAGUUUGCCUGGACUACAAUUUAUUUGCACACCAGAUGUAUGUAUGCUUCAGGCUGACAGCACCGCAAAGGGUGGGAAGUUUAACACUGCCAAGUGCCAAAUAGAAGGAAAAUAAAUAAAACAAAACAAGACUGACUUUAUGUAUUUGUGUAUUUCCUCUAAACCCACUUAACCAGUAAAACCUGGAUCUUUCCAAUGAACAGCACACCAUAGA